rnacentral:lncRNA from 1 species
CUGAAUUGAAGAACAUAAAUACACAGAAAUCGGCCAGCUGCUAGGGGUGAAUAAUUGGGCUACAAAGUUGAAUUAAAUACAUAAAUACACAUCUACAGAAAGCCAAAAAUUGGAGGCUGGGAUUGGAAAUAAAAGAGGAGGCUGCUUGGUGGCUGAAAAUUGAAGAAAACGAGAUGGAAUUACGCACCGUAAUUAAAAGAGAUGACAUAUACGUGGAUGGACAACAACAUAAUUGGAGCAUUAAUUCCAUAUUUUUGUACAUAAUUCAUCAACAAUUUGUGCAAGAAAUUUGGGAAUUAAUCAAGUUCCGUUAAUUUAUCGGUGAUGUCUUUUAUCCUUUAUUUGUUUAAUUACAACAUUGUGUUAGGCUAAUUUUUCAUAUUGUUAAGAUGUGAUGAACC